rnacentral:lncRNA from 1 species
GUCCACUUAAAGAAUCGGAUUCUUGACUUUGGUUGUCCCCUAAACUUUGGCCUUUUUACUUUUCACAGAUAUCUAACUUCACGAAAAUAAAUCUUUUUUAUGGCACAGAGAAGAUUUUCUCUCUGAAGUUCCCAUAAGCAGUGUUAUUUAUCUGUGAAGAAGUCUCCUCCCACAAAGCAGCAGCAGUGAGCUCGUGGUACAGCCUGGCUUCCAGAGCACAGAGGCUGGAUUCUCAUCGACAUUCUUAGGCAGACUUCACAAGACUUUGAAGUGGCCGCUGUACGAAAUGGGAGCAAGAAUAUCCAGUUUCCCAACUCGAGGUGAUGCCUGGGAGUGAUGAUCACUCCUAACAUUCAUAUUUGUUCAGGAUAUUACAUCCCAAAAUGUUCUCCAAAAAAUUCUCUUGUUUAAUCCUCAGGACAGUUGUUAACAUGAAAAUUGUCACCCCCUUUUUGCAGGCAAGGAAACGAAGGAUCUGAAGGGUUAAAUGACUCACUUCAGAUCAAACAGCUGUUGGAGGAGAAAUUCAAACAAAAAAUUCAGGUCUUCAGAGUCCUCUCAGGGUAGAAGGUUUAUUCUCUGAGCUCAUGUUGGAGGGAACCUGGGGCAUCAUCAAAAGCAGCUACACCAGUGUAGUCAUUUAUGGAACUCUUAAAGGUCAAGGUUUCGUCGCUGUUCAGGUACAAGAGCGACGCCUGCAGGACAGUCCUUUGCAUGUGAACCCUGCCGGGUUCCAGGAAAUGCUCCUGGCUGUGCUCUGUGGCCGGGUGUCCCACACUGACAGUUGUUGCGAGCAGAGAUGAGCAGAAGACUGACCCUCCAGGAGCCACGUACCCACAUCUACCACCUCUUCUAAUAAGUGCCUUGAACACAUUAAUUCCCUGGGAAGGAAGAAGGACUGCUGGGCUGAGGGUGUGGCCACAGCAGGAGUGAAGAGUAGGGGUGAGCUGGCCCAGAGCCUGAGUGAUGCCCGAGGGACACUUCCAGGUGAGUCAGAAAGUGUGGCUGAGGCCAUGUCAACUGGACUCUGCCAAUGACAC